rnacentral:tRNA from 1 species
GGUUUUAUAGUCAAGAAUGACAUUAGAUUGCAAUUCUAAAGGAAUAAAUAAGUUAUUAAAACUU